rnacentral:rRNA from 1 species
CCCUUAGACGUUCUGGGCCGCACGCGCGCUACACUGACCAGUGCAACAAGCAUCCGUCCUUGGCCGACAGGCCCGGGCAAUCUUUGAACGCUGGUCGUGAUGGGGAUAGACUUUUGCAAUUUUUGGUCUUCAACGAGGAAUUCCUAGUGAACGCAAGUCAUCAACUUGCAUUGAUUACGUCCCUGCCCUUUGUACACACCGCCCGUCGCACCUACCGAUUGAAUGGUCCGGUGAAGCCUCCGGAUUGGCGCGCACCUCGGUGCCGCCGAGAAGUUGGCUAAACCUUACCAUUUAGAGGAAGGUGAAGUCGUAACA